rnacentral:lncRNA from 1 species
AUGUUUAGCUAAAUUGAUUAAAUCCAUUGGGAUUUCUUUGCUAUGUUGGUUUGAUAUUAUAUUAUUGGAUUGUUUGAGUUGGUUUUGUAUUCUUCUUGUUUUCAGUGUUAAUAAGAUUAUGCAUUAUUCAUGAGACGUUGUGAAUUGUGAUGUUUAGAUUGCUUUAUGACAUUGAGAAAUCCGUUUGGCAAUUGGAACUUUGAAUAACAAGAACU